AGAGAGCAAUCGUCUCCAGACUCGAGAGCACAGUGUCCUCUUCUCCCUCCACGGUGAACUUAUUCCUUCCUCAUGUGUUCAGGAUUCGUAGUGUCCAUGGCCACUGCAUCCUAUAGGCAAAGCGAGAGCUCGUUGUAUCUCGGUUGACCACUGAUUGGCACAUGACAAUAUCAUAUGUUUGUCAGCAGGAGACGCAGCCUGAGAAUGAAGGAAAGAUGCCAGUUUCAGAUGAUGCAUCUUGAACAAUCCGGGAAGCCCUUCUAUGUGCUACUCAAGUGUGAGAUGGAGCUUGGCUCCAGGACGGACGCCUUCCAAUUCACAUUAUAUUCGUUGAUGUCUUCAUUGUAAGUCAGCUUAUUUUGAAGUUUCUGGUAAAAUCCUUUGUCAGUGCUUGCGUACAUCCCCUACCCAAACCGGAUGGGGAGGAUAAGACAUGUAUGUAGCUGC